rnacentral:rRNA from 1 species
UGGGGAAUUUUGGACAAUGGGCGAAAGCCUGAUCCAGCAAUGCCGCGUGUGUGAAGAAGGCCUUCGGGUUGUAAAGCACUUUUGUCCGGAAAGAAAUCCUUGGCUCUAAUACAGUCGGGGGAUGACGGUACCGGAAGAAUAAGCACCGGCUAACUACGUGCCAGCAGCCGCGGUAAUACGUAGGGUGCAAGCGUUAAUCGGAAUUACUGGGCGUAAAGCGUGCGCAGGCGGUUUGCUAAGACCGAUGUGAAAUCCCCGGGCUCAACCUGGGAACUGCAUUGGUGACUGGCAGGCUAGAGUAUGGCAGAGGGGGGUAGAAUUCCACGUGUAGCAGUGAAAUGCGUAGAGAUGUGGAGGAAUACCGAUGGCGAAGGCAGCCCCCUGGGCCAAAUACUGACGCUCAUGCACGAAAAGCGUGGGGAGCAAAACAGGAUUAGAUACCCU